rnacentral:rRNA from 1 species
UACGUAGGGUGCGAGCGUUUGUCCGGAAUUAUUGGGCGUAAAGAGCUCGUAGGCGGCCUGUCGCGUCGGAUGUGAAAGCCCGGGGCUUAACCCCGGGUCUGCAUUCGAUACGGGCAGGCUAGAGUGUGGUAGGGGAGAUCGAAUUCCUGGUGUAGCGGUGAAAUGCGCAGAUAUCAGGAGGAACACCGGUGGCGAAGGCGGAUCUCUGGGCCAUUACUGACGCUGAGGAGCGAAAGCGUGGGGGAGCGAACAGG